rnacentral:rRNA from 1 species
GAUGAACGCUGGCGGCGUGCCUAAUACAUGCAAGUCGAGCGAACAGACGAGGAGCUUGCUCCUCUGACGUUAGCGGCGGACGGGUGAGUAACACGUGGAUAACCUACCUAUAAGACUGGGAUAACUUCGGGAAACCGGAGCUAAUACCGGAUAAUAUAUUGAACCGCAUGGUUCAAUAGUGAAAGACGGUUUUGCUGUCACUUAUAGAUGGAUCCGCGCCGCAUUAGCUAGUUGGUAAGGUAACGGCUUACCAAGGCGACGAUGCGUAGCCGACCGGAGAGGGUGAUAGGCCACACUGGAACGGAGACACGGUCCAGACUCCUACGGGAGGCAGCAGUAGGGAAUCUUCCGCAAUGGGCGAAAGCUUUACGGAGCAACGCCGCGUGAGUGAUGAAGGUCUUCGGAUCGUAAAACUCUGUUAUUAGGGAAGAACAAAUGUGUAAGGAACUAUGCACGUCUUGACGGUACCUAAUCAGAAAGCCACGGCUAACUACGUG